GGGCCCGUAGCUCAGCUGGUUAGAGCGGCUGACUCAUAAUCAGUAGGUCGUGGGUUCGAAUCCUACCGGGCCCACUA
rnacentral:tRNA from 2 species